rnacentral:lncRNA from 1 species
GAACAUGCAGCAGCAAACUGUUAUGUGAAGAGGCACAUAAAGAGAGAAAAUUUAGAUGUUAAGUAUGACACUAAAUGUAGCUCCCAUAUAUAUUUAUAAGCAAAAAAGGAUAUUUCUAUGAAGUUCUAGAAGAUAGAUGAUGGUAAAUUUCUAGUAAAUAUGUUUUAUGAUUUAAGAAAAGGAAGACAUGGAUGAGGGAACUGUAGGAUCAGACUAAAAGUAGAAAUACACCGUUGUAGUUGUAGCAGUCCAAACCAUACUAGAAGGCUCUACUUACACAGAUUGUUACGCAUAAAUUAGAUGAUAAACAUAAAUUUACCAGACUAGAAGAUUUCCUGCUAAAGAUUCAGGGCUGUAACUGCAGUAGGCACACAGGUGUCAUGGUUCAUAAUUUGAUGACGGUCAGAUGCAGCUUCCAGAUGAAUCUCUGGGUCAAGACCAGCAUAGUCUGCACUGGCACCAUUUUGUCACCCUGCUGACAAACACAAAACAGCCAGGGGAGACUCCAGGUGAGAGUGAUGAAGAGAGAAGCAGCCACCAGACCCCAUAAGGUUCCUGUUAAGUGGAUCAACAGAGGGAGGACCACAGGCAUUUCCCUUUGAUGUGUAAAGGUGUGCAAGAGGUGGUGUUUUUAUGCCACCAUUGCUCUAAAGGAUCACUCUUCUCCCGCUGUAAUAAGGAUGCAGAAAACUGCUCCAUGUUUUAAGAGGAAACUCAUUCUGCUAGGUCUGAGUUACAUGGAGCAGAACUGUGACAGAGUAUUCAGAUAACCAGGCAAAAAUUUGAUUCCCCUUUUUUCCACACAAAUUCUGGAGAUAUGUGUGUGGAUUUUUAACCAGCCUUGCAAAUCUGAGAAAAUAUAAGGAUUUUUUAAUAAGAAGGACUAUGUUGACAAAAAAAAAAGAAUCUAUUCAAUCCUAUUCCUAAUGACUUCAAAAUGAGAUUCACAGAUGGAUGUCUGGAAGUUUUUAAGUGCCAUGUGUAUUGAUCCAAAUAAACUGUUCUCAGAUAAAUUAUACUUUCAUUCGUUUAUUAAUCCUCUCUUUUGGAGAUAUUGUUGUAUGAUCUCAGGGGUCUAUUAAGCACAGAGUUAACAGAGAAAAAGAUGUUCCCAGCUUGAAUAAACACACAAAAUUAACCAACUUUAGCAGGUGCAACACUUACUGCUAUACAAAGUUGGAGAAGAAAUGAAUUAUUAAGAUUAUUAAAUGAAAUAAAUAUUCUUGUGGCAAAUUUUGAACUAGCAAACAGUGUAGAAAAAAUCCUGUAAUAGCCUUUAUUUUGGUGUGCUAUAAGGUAAACAAGUAGUAAUGGUGCUUUUCAGUGUGACAUUUACUGAGGAAAACAUUUCCAGAAUGGAAGUGCCCUUUCUAGAGUACUGUCAUUGGUUUGGGGUCCAGGGACUAGCUAGGAACCAAGAAGUUAAAAUAGGUAGCACAAAGGCAAUAUAAAAAUUGCUUUAACACUGAUGCAUAAAUGGAGUUACUAAAAAUACUUUUGAAAUUACCCUUUUGAAGAAGACCUGCACUUCAGAACAUUGAGGAUCAUUUACAGUAAAUGCUUGGAAGGGCUGAGGUGCAGUUAAUGUGAGGAAAUAUUAAAUUCUGUAGGUUGAAUGAAGCAUUCAGCCCCUUCUCCAGAGGGAACAGGAAAUGAUGUUCUGGAAAUCACAGAAUCUGCCUUCCCUCACGUUCACACAGAGCUGCUACAGGCAGGGGAGGGAGGAUUUGCACCCUUUGUCUGUCUUUACAAGGUAGAUAAGCUGGGAGAUAUUUGUUGUCAUAGCCUCAUUAGGCUACAAAGUCAUCCCAAUAAAUAAUUUGCAUAUGCAGAUCAGAAAUAAUCUGUAGAGAGCUGAUGUUCUUUUGUACCCUGCUGGCAGAGUAACUCCUGGGAAAUCCCGAGUUAAUAUUAGCUCAGCUCCACCCUAUUCGUAUCCCAGGUCAGUAAAACCUCCUUAUCAACCUCUAAAUUCAGAGAAAUCUUGUGGUUCUCAGCUGCAGAAUACUACAGAAAAUUUCCUCCCAUCUGUCAGUGUGGGAACUCUCACUGUGUUAUUAUGUGCCCCUGGGCAUUGCUUAACUAUUGUUGAACAUGAGUUUUCACAGAGAUCAAAAGCCAAACUAUUUGUAGUUUAUGAAUACAAUUAUCAUUAUUAUGAGAUCCUGAGAACUGCAUUAAACUUAGCUACUGUAAAAAUUGGGCAUUAUACCUGUGUCAAAACCCUGUGUCAGAAAUUAGAGGGUGGAAAUUACAGCUCAAGAGUUAAUCUUGGCAUGUAAGCCCAAGGUUGAAAGCCUUACUGAAGUGUGUUGUAAAACUCAGUUUUAAGUGGACCUAAUGGUCCGAGUGCUUCAGAUCUUUCAGGCUAACAUGGAUUAAUUCCUUUCCUCUGUUGAAAUCAAGAGCUUCAAUGAAUUGUUCAAGACUAGGCCUGUGUAGCUAAUUAGAUGGAACUGGAACCUUCAAUAGCCUGCUCUGUGAUUAGGAAUGGUUCAUCACAUUCCCCAGGGGGGGUCUCUAGAAAAGGCACAUAGAACAAUGAGCCACCUACCUCCCACCUAAAUCCAACAGGAAUAGAGCUGGCAUUUUUGUCAAUAUACUUCUCCAUACCCAUUAACUAACAGAGCUAAUGCCAAAAAAUUUGGUGAGAUUUCUGGGGAGCUCAAGAAGACCACUAAGUCCCUCUGUGCUGGGCUCAUAGAUCCCCUUACCCAACUCUAAACAAUAAUCAAUAAUAAAUAAAAUAAAAAAAGCACUAAACAAUGCUCUCCUUAUGAGCACAGAGCUUCUCACAGGGGAUUGUUGGUGUGCCAGCUGUGAAAGCCUCCUCUGCUCUGGCUGUGAGCUCAACAUUCACCCCACUUCUCUCAGCACACCCUGAAAUGUGUGAAGCAGUGAAUUCAUCAGUGAAUAUUGUCCACAGCCACCACAGUGACAGCACAGCACUUUAUAUCCUAUCCACAAGUAGCAAUAAUAACUUGAGAGUGAAACCAUUCCCUAAACAACAACAAUACCACCACGCCACCCCACUCACAGACUCUUGUAUCAUGGUCCUUUAAUCUGUUGAACACCCACUUUCAGGUAAAAUAAUUUUCAUUAUAAAUUAAUAGUAGCAAAAUAAUUAAUAAAUUAGUAGUAAAUAGCAGUAAUACUAUCAUAUCUAGUAAUACUAUCAUAUCAUACUACAGUAAAUAGUAGUAAUAGUAGUAAGUUAAUAAAUAAAUUAAUUCAUAAUAUAUUAAUUUAGUUUGUUAUAGUUAGAAAAUAAAUAAAUAAACAAAUGCUAGCAAGAGGACUAGACCCCCUUCUGGUUAAAAUGACCUUUACAAGCCAAAGUUCUAUUCAGGGAUGUUCACUGGAAGCUUUAAUAGGGCAAAAUUCAAGAGAGCUAAUGUAUAAAAAUCCUAAUGUAUAAAAGUACUUCUUUUCACCUGGACAGGCUUUUCAUCCUUUCUGCCAUGCACACUUCAGGAAGUCCACUUUAGAUAUUCUUGGGGAAAUUUUAGAAAGUAAUAUCUCUUAUUUUUUUUCCUUUCCUGAAGAAAAAUGAGGAAUGUUAAGUUUUUCCAGACACUUACCCUAACCCAGAAAAGGAAAUUUAGAGAGUGAGUGUGGUGCUGAUGAGGGUGCUCUAGAGACCAAGGUUCUCUCUUUAGCCAUAGUCAAACAAUGUGAAAAGCAUUCAGUUCUGUCUCUGGACUCUUCUGUGUGUCUGUAGCAACCUCUUAAGUGAGAAGGUUCUGCAAUUAUUUCCUGGAUCCUCGGGUGAGCAGCAGUGUGCUUGUACAACUCCCUUAGCACUUCAGUAAGAGAACUGCAUUCACAAAUGCUGCCACUGCUGACAGCACUGAAACUAAGCAAAGAAAAUCAAGCUACUUUAUUUAUAAGCUGAUUUACUUGGGUGUCAUUAACAUCAGGAUCUCAAAAUCUGCCCAGAUUCAUCCAGUUCAAUACGUUCAAGCUCCAUUUUAAGUAAAAUUUCUUUACCAGGUGAAGAAGGAACCAAGCGAAUCUCUCUAACACGGCCUUCAGGGUCUCAUUGUAAUUACAAUUUGAACAUACAGAUAUUAUUUAUCAAUACAAACAAUUAUCAAAACCACAAGGUUUACUAACUUUAAAAUGAUUUUUCUGACAAAACAGAUGGUUUAUGAUAAAUAAUUCUGGCUCAGCUAGGGCAUCUGAACAACACAGAUGUGUGUGCAUUACACCUGGAGCUGAAUUCUAGACUCACACCUUGCUGGUGCAAAGUGAUCUACAUAAAUAAAGUUUAACUAUUUCAAGAAAUGCCUACCAAUGUCUUUUCUGCAAAGUGGAAUGGGUACAUUUCUGCUGCCCAUGAAUGUGCAGAACACAUCUGCACACAUCUGCAGGGGCAUAUCCACACAAUACUCAAGUCUCUGAGGGUUUCCUUUGUGCAUCCACAAGGUUAU